rnacentral:tRNA from 1 species
GGCCUCGUAGCUCAGGUGGCUAGAGCGUUGGCUGGGUGGGUUCGAAUCCCACCGAGGCCG